rnacentral:rRNA from 1 species
GGGCCCGCACAAGCGGUGGAGCAUGUGGUUUAAUUCGAUGAUACGCGAGGAACCUUACCAAGGUUUAAAUGUAGAACGAUCGAUGUGGAAACACAUCUUUCUUCGGACGGUCUACAAGGUGCUGCAUGGUUGUCGUCAGCUCGUGCUGUGAAGUGUCGGGUUAAGUCCCAUAACGAGCGCAACCCCUAUCUUUAGUUGCCAGCGAUUCGGUCGGGGACUCUAAAGAAACUGCCGGCGUAAGCCGCGAGGAAGGUGGGGAUGACGUCAAAUCAUCACGGCCCUUACAUCUUGGGCUACACACGUGCUACAAUGGCGAGGACAACGAGAAGCAAACCGGCGACGGUGAGCAAAUCUAAAAACCUCGUCUCAGUUCGGAUCGGAGUCUGCAACUCGACUCCGUGAAGUUGGAAUC